rnacentral:misc_RNA from 1 species
UGUCGCCUACGCGGGCUGAUUCCGGCCUGCCCUCUUCACCUGCAACUGAACCGCUUGAGUAUGGAAAACCUGAAUCACCUGCUAAGCAUGUCGUGGCGGAGGUUGAGGACGAGGAAACAAAAGAGAAGCUCAAGGCGGCGGCUAACUUCGAGUGCAAUAUUUGUUUGGAUAUGGCGGUUGAGCCCGUUGUCACUACAUGUGGUCAUUUGUUUUGCUGGCCGUGUAUCUAUCAGUGGCUGAAUCUCCAUUCGGAUCAUCGAGAAUGCCCCGUGUGUAAAGGCGAAGUUGUUGAGUCCAACAUUAUACCUAUCUACGGGAGAGGCAACUCAGAGUUGAGUGAUGAUAAGAAGCUCGAAAAGAAAGAGGAGGUACCUCUGGAGAUACCCCCGAGGCCUCGCGGGAAUCGAUAUGAGAGCUUCAGGCAGCAGUUUCGGCCUAUUUCGAGGAGGUUGGGUGAGGGGAUUGCCAACUCUUGGCGGCGUCUUGUGGAUCAAAGGUUACGCAACAGAAGCAAUGUAGACUCGUCCUUGGCGGGAAUGUAUGACAUUGCUUAUCAGCGAGCACCACUUACUCGAAUGAGGGCGAGGAGAAUCCAGAGGGAAGAGAGGAUUUCGGAGACUCCUAUUGCCCGGGACAGUGGACUGCUGAGAGAUGGGUCUUCGAUCCCGCAUGCUAGCAGUUCGAACUUACAUUUUCGAGAUGGAGAUCCUUGGCGAACGUAUACUCUUCAUAACCUUUCUACUUCUGAGAGAUUGGCAGCUAUGGCUGUGGACCUAACUGGGGUUGUUGGGAGGUUUGGG